rnacentral:rRNA from 1 species
UACGUAGGUGGCGAGCGUUAUCCGGAAUGAUUGGGCGUAAAGGGUGCGUAGGCGGCCUGCUAAGUCUGGAGUGAAAGGUACCGGCUCAACCGGUAUAGGCUCUGGAAACUGGCGGGCUAGAGAGCAGGAGAGGGCGGUGGAACUCCAUGUGUAGCGGUAAAAUGCGUAGAUAUAUGGAAGAACACCAGUGGCGAAGGCGGCCGCCUGGCCUGUUACUGA